rnacentral:lncRNA from 1 species
CCAAAACAGAGUAUUUUUCAACAAACAAUUUAUAAUGUCUAGUUCAAAUGGCUUAACCACGGGACACAAAUUAUUAAGUGAAUUUGCUCCAAAAAAAAAUUACUGGAUUAAAAUCAAAAGACUGACUUUCACUAUCUCCUAAAGUAUGGAAAUACAAAACAAAUUUUUAACAUCUUCGCAAUGGCUCAUGUCUUGGUUUUGAUUUUCAAGGCACUAUUUCCUGCUGGUCGAGUGGAUUAUUUCUGGACUAUUUCAGCUAAGCAAGCAGGCAAUUUCUUCAUAUACUCUCUAAAGCUCUUUAAACAGGAGCCUCUUGUUGGAGCUCCUGAAAGGAAUCCACAGACCCAGAGGGAUUCUGGAUACUUUCUCUCUCCUAGUGUUGUGAGGCAACUUGCAAAGAUCCAUCAAAUACAAGAGAAGAAAAGAGAGAAAGGAAUCAGAGCAGAGCUGGCUGGCAGAAUAACGUGCCCAAAUCUGUAUCAACAGGCGAGAAUUCUGUCUCUAAGCUUCUCAGGAGUCAAAGCAAAGAGAUAUGAGUCCCAGCAUCCCAAAGGUAAGGUGCCCAGCUGUUGGGGAAAGUAG